rnacentral:rRNA from 1 species
UCAGUAACGGCGAGUGAAGCGGCAACAGCUCAAAUUUGAAAGCCCGCGGGCGUUGUAAUUUGCAGGCGGAUGUUUUGGGGCGGGCGCUGUCUACGUUCCUUGGAACAGGACGCCGCAGAGGGUGAGAGCCCCGUGCGAUGGCGCCUCUAACCGCGUAAAACUCCGCCGACGAGUCGAGUUGUUUGGGAAUGCAGCUCCAAGUGGGUGGUAAAUUCCAUCUAAAGCUAAAUACUGGCGAGAGACCGAUAGCGAACAAGUACAGUGAUGGAAAGAUGAAAAGCACUUUGAAAAGAGAGUGAAACAGCACGUGAAAUUGUUGAAAGGGAAGGGUAUGCGAUUAGCGGCCAGCAGGAGGUGCCUUCUCGUGAAAAGGCCGUGCACCGUCUUCGGACACCGUGCGCGGAGAUGGCGAGGGGGCGCCUGAGGUCUGCGAACUCGAGGUUGCUGGCGUAAUGAUUGCAUACCACCCGUCUUGA